GGGUGCGAUCAUACUAGAGUUAAUGCACCAGAUCCCAUCGGAACUCCACAAUUAAGUUUGCUUGGGCUAUAGUAGUACUGGGAUGGGUGACCUCCCGAGAAGCCCUAGUGUUGCACCCU
rfam:Picea glauca, whole genome shotgun sequence.